GUCCACGCCGUAAACGAUGAGUGCUAGAUGUUUCUGGUAUUGACCCCGGAGGCGUCGUAGCUAACGCGUUAAGCACUCCGCCUGGGGAGUACGGCCGCAAGGCUAAAACUCAAAGGAAUUGACGGGGGCCCGCACAAGCGGUGGAGCAUGUGGUUCAAUUCGACGCAACGCGAAGAACCUUACCUGGGUUGGAACCCUCCAGAAGUCCGCAGAGAUGUGGAUGUGCCCGCAAGGGAAUUGGAUGUCCAGGUGCUGCAUGGCUGUCGU
rnacentral:rRNA from 1 species